UGAGCCUCGGGAGGCAGCAGUGGGGGAUAUUGUACAAUGGGGGGAACCCUGAUGCAGCGACGCCGCGUGGGUGAAGAAGCGCCUCGGCGCGUAAAGCCCUGUCAGCAGGGAAGAAAAUGACGGUACCUGAAGAAGAAGCCCCGGCUAACUACGUGCCAGCAGCCGCGGUAAUACGUAGGGGGCAAGCGUUAUCCGGAUUUACUGGGUGUAAAGGGGGCGCAGACGGCGAUGCAAGCCAGGAGUGAAAGCCCGGCGCCCAACCCCGGGACUGCUCUUGGAACUGCGUGGCUGGAUUGCAGGAGGGG
rnacentral:rRNA from 1 species